AAGCAGCAAACAUUGGUAGGAAGUUUCAUCGCCUGUAGAAGUGGGUGUGUGUGACCCCAGGGUCUGGACCCAGAAAGACCAUAUUUCAGCUUCUUCUAGAGAUCACACCACUCUGGCUAUGCAUGUUCGUCUUCAAUUGAAAACAGAUCUGGACUGAGGGACUAUUCGAGCUGAUCUUCUCAGGGAGGCCCUGACGAAUGUAACUUUGCAUUUGGCCCAGCUCUGAUUGGGGAGUUUGACCAACCUACCUCCAGAGGUCCUUCCAAACUAAAUUAUUGUACGGCUCGUGAUUUUUCAGCAGGAGCUACUACAGGAGCCUUCAGCAUGUAGGAACAAGCCAGCAGCUGCCCCGCACUGGGGCAGGCUCCCAGGACACCUUCAGCCAUGCCAGAGGAAACCCCGAGUAGGGUUACUGAUGUGAUUAACGCCAGCGUUUUGAAGUCCAAACCAUUCGCACGAGAGAAUUUCUACUUCAGAAGUGCCUCCUACCAGGCUCUGCAUCAGAAACUUGGAUCCUGCAGCCUACCGACCACACAGGUGCCUUAUUAUUGUGAGUGGGAUUUCAGGGAGAAGUGGCUUGCAAAACGUUUUCUCCAAUCUCACCGAGCGGGUAUCACAAGGCAGGAAUCUUAAAGGUUUUCCUUAGAAAGUGAUUGGACAGUUUUUUUUUCUGCCUUCCCCAGCACUAGUCUGCCCAUUGAACUCCCAUGUAUUGGGAUUUCACAGCAAAGUAGUGCUUUUGGGGGUCUGUGUGUCAGAACACUCUUAUGUCAGAGGACAAAGAAAUUGCCAGGACCAGUGGAGGCAUUAGAGAAGGGAACAGGAUGGAGUUUUCAUAGCUGCACAAACCAGUGCUAAAAGAAAAUUACACAAGCAUUGCACAAGGGAGGCUUCACUGGAAGUGUUGCCUCCGGCUCACAUUCCUUUUAAGCUGUUAUAAAACUUUAAAUAUAAUUAAUAAAUAACCAGGCCUCUCAAGUAGAGAUGAGUCCAAAGCUCUGCCCGCUGCAUGAACCGAGUUUGUUAUUUCAGCUCUUGAUAUAAAAGUACAGCAUAUCACCAUGAGCUAUAAUGAGACUCUCAGCUGUAGGCUUGCCAGUUGAGGUCAGCCAGACUGGCCAGGCUGCAUUACUGCUGCAGAGGAAACACAAACCCAGGCGGCUUAAAUAGGUGGGGUAGGCUAAAUCAGAGACCUAAUUCCAAGGCAGGGUGAAGGUACCACCUGCAAACUGCUGUUUGGAUCCAGGGUAAAGAUGACCAUGUCUUCUCCUUGCUACUAACCCACCUGACUUCAGGGAGCUUUCCUCCUUCUCCUCUCCCUUCCCCUUACAACAUCAGCAGUGGCUGAGGGCUCUGUGCUUGCAGGGCUGGGAGAUCAGUGUGGCACUUGCAGCCUUCACCUCAGUGUCCUGCGAUAACAGAAAGGAGGGCCAGGGUGGCAGGAAGAUCAAGGAGUCACUGCAGUGAAGGAAAAAACCUCCACCUCUUAGCUGUGAGACCUGACAGAGUCUUCACCUCUCCCACUGUGUCCUCCAGGCAGUUCUCUAAGGGCAAACAUUUUGACAAUAAUCUUCCCCCUCUUCCUUUUGUUUAUCAGCCUUUACAAAGCUAUUGGUUGGCUCUAGAAUGAAAACUUUCUCUAAUUCUUUAAGUACGUAAAGAAAAUUUUUUAGAGCCAUGUUACAUUUGGGUACUUUUAUCCACUCACAUUCAUUACUAAACUAUUAGACAUCUCUUCUCUGAGAUACUGGUUGCAAUUUGUUUAUUGGUAUGACCUGGAUUAUGGUGUCCCUUUGGCCACUGCUGUGAAAUACUAAUCCCAAACUUAAAACCUGCUUUUCUAAUGUAACAGGCUGUUUAAUGGGCCAAACUGGUCCUGGUGAAGGAUGUAUGACUAGAUACAAAUACAUGAGAGUAUAAAAAGACUACUGUUUUUAUUUGCUAAUUAAGAAUGCUAAUAAAUAAUUAUCAUCUAUUUCAGUCAGGAAUUUAUUGGGUUUUUUAUGUUUCUAAAAAUCAGAUCACCUUUAUCUAAGGGCAUAAAUAAUGGAUUUAAGAGUGCAGCUUCUGACAGCUUUGAAAACAUUAGCUAUGGUUGCUGGUCUGUAGCUGAGACAACAUUGACUCAACAAUUCCCAGAGCUGGGAAAAUCUCUCUGGGUGUCAAAUACCACACAGAAGGUUAAAGAGUGAAUAUAAUAAUUGCUUACUUUAUAUGGUAGUAUUUUUCCUCGUAAGUACAGACUAAAAAAGUCAAUGUAUGAGAAGAAAUAAGCACUGAGUACCAAAUACUCAGCAGGUUACAAGUAGAGAUGAAGAACAGGAAUAUCACUAUAGCUUUAAAAAAUGUUUGGCUGUUGUGAAAUAAUAAUUAAUAUCAGGUCAUGGUUAGACUUGUAAAUUAAUGAUGCAUGACAAAUUGCAGCUCAAAAUUGAUCCAAGGAGUGCAUUAAAAUUAACUGUAAAACAUUUUCCAGGAUUAUCACAGAAAUUAAAGCCCACAGAGUACAUUUGAUGGCUAAUUUGUGACCUUUGGUCAAUGAGCCAUGAUUUCAAGACUAACUCUUGUAGAAAUAUAUUCUUAUAAUAAAUUAAUCUAAUAUUUUACCACAUGUAAAAUGGUGUAAGACAAUCUUACAAUCUACAAAGAACUUACUUGCACUUUGGCUUUGAACUUGGAAAUGUAUGUAUACAAAAAGAAUCCAUUAAAUUUCAAAUUUUACCUAAGAAUAAGAUACAGUAAAAGUCAAGAAGAUUAGAGAAAGAAGAGUCAGGAAAAAUAAGCAGGGUUUGUACCAAGGAUGAUGGUGUAGUUACUCAGCUAAUGCAUUUACGUAUCAUGAGACAAUGGUCUUGGUGGUGGUUGCAGAUUUUCCCCAUCUUCAAUACAGAUAUGAUUUAAGCGUCAUUGACUCAUAUCCUGGGACAGAAGGAAGAAGAACAGAGACUGAGGUUGGAAUAGUAACGAAGAGGACGCUGGCUUAGGAGCUUCUUGUACUUCUCAAAACAAUAUUCUCUUAAAAUCUGUCUACAUCUGUAGCAUCCAGUAUGAUGGAUUUUUUUCCAAAAAAAUUUUGCUGCAUAGCUAUAUCCUAUGAAUGGUAUAAAAUUGCCUUAUCUGCUAUUGUCUCUGUUUAAUAAGAAGCUCUGUGAAUCUUGGAUGACCACAGAGAACAUUUCAGAAACACUCUAUACAGGUUUUGUAACAUCACUGAUGCUCCUUAUUGUGUCCAGAAAAGAUAAAAGAAAAUAUUGCUCUGCUCUUUCUAAAACAAAAAAAAAAAAAAACAAAAAAAAACACCAAAAAACCCCAACAAAUUACAGAUUUCGCACCCAAGCUAAAAAAAAAAAAAAAAAAAAAAAAAAAAAAGAGACACCCUUAAGACCAUAUACAGUAAUUCUUUAUCAACAAUAUUCUUCAUGGGAAUACACUGACGUACUUUUGAGGAGAUGGGAAAAGUUUGCCCCUUUCUUCUACAUGUCUGCUAGCAACCUCUUGCUGCCCUUCCCUUAGAGCAUCUAAACUACAAGACAAGUUGUGUAAGCUCUGGAAGGUUUCUGCUAGCCAUGUUUCCAACCAGAAGUUGCAGUUACAGGUGUUCAUUAAGUGAGCACAGCAACUGGAUCAGGACUUUCAGGCAAUGUAGGGAGAUGACCUGAGUGUAGAGCUUGACUGGUGUUUCCGAGCAGGCCCAGAAAGCAGAACUUUAAUUUGCUGGGAAAAUUCAUGAGUGGAAGUUCAGAUGUCUACAGAAUUCAUAUGUCUGUAGUGCUAAGUGAAUUUUUUGAGAUUUGUGUAUUUUGAAGUUAGUACCCAAACACCACCUAAAUCUAACUUAAGGCAUUUAUGGCCCUUCACCAAUCCAACCCAAUGGCCUCAGAGAGAUUUAGAAGAAAGACCAUAAACCAGGCAAACUUCAACAUCUAUAUUAUACAGAUAUUGCAUGUGUCAAAAAAUAUUUCAGAAACUCGAUAUUUCCAGUUCUAGAUCAGUUGCCCUCACAUCUCACAACUGAUAUUAUUGUGAUCUGCCUGCAAAAGGCAGGACACCAAAUGCAUUUCUGUGGGAUUUUUCAUGUUUCACCCACGAGACUAUAAGCUUCUGAUUAAAUGAUCCCUAAAGGAGAAAGGAGGAAGAGGCAGUAAACCAUUACAUUCAGUUUCACACAGAGGCAGAAAAUAAAUGAAAAUACAGUUGCCGUGUUCUUCUAGCAUUUCUUAAAAAUUACUUGUGUGGAAGAAAACAAUAUAUACACUUUCAAAAAUGCCAGAACAUAAUCCUGAUGAUUCUUUCUGAAGGCAGUUAGAUGCUGAAGAGUGGCUGUAAAAAUGUUUACAGUAUACAUUUUCUUUCACACAUUAUUUGAACAUAAAACAUAGUUCCCCCAUAUUGUUCCUGAAAGUCUGAACUUGCAAUGUCGAAGAUGUUGGGUUUCAGUGGACAAACUUCCGUUAUAGUAUUAGAAUAAUUUGAAAGGAUGGUCCACAAGGAUUAUUUUUCUCUUUUUGCACUUGUGUCUAUAAUGUUGUACCUUAAAAAAAAAAAAAACAAAACAUUAAAUGACAGUAGUCUGCAACAGUGCAAGGGACAGAAAAUGGAUCAGGGAAGGGAGAGACAAGGAUUUUCUUCCCACUGACCUCUUAGCUGGCAGAGUGUGUCCUUCACUUCUCUGUCUACCAGCUUCCUAAUUGUUUUCCCAUAGUAUUGAUUUCCAUUUAAAUGUGCUUUAUGAUCUGAGCAUACCAGUGAAACACACUUCAUAAGAGCAAGAUCAUAUCCUUUGAUAACUCGUGAUAUCACUCAUGCGUUUUAACUUUGGUGCCUACGCGAGCAGGUGUUUUAUCAUUCUUAGGAACAAGCUUCAUGAUUAGAAUUCAUUCACUAUGUGCAUGUCACAAAUAACACAAAAGCCCCUUCUUCUACUUAACAUCUCGAUUCUGUUCACUACAUAAUAAAUACUGUUAUGGAUAGUGCUACCAAAUCAA